AAGCGGCGCACGGGUGAGUAACACGUGGGUAAUCUGCCCUGGAGUGGGGAAUAACACCGGGAAACCGGUGCUAAUACCGCAUACGAUAACGGUGUCUGCGGAUGUCGUUAUGAAAGGAGCAAUUCGCUCUAGGAGGAGCCCGCGGCUGAUUAGCUAGUUGGUGAGGUAAUGGCUCACCAAGGCUACGAUCAGUAUCCGGUCUGAGAGGACGGUCGGACACACUGGAACUGAGACACGGUCCAGACUCCUACGGGAGGCAGCAGUGGGGAAUUUUUGGCAAUGGGGGCAACCCUGACCAAGCAACGCCGCGUGGGUGAUGAAGUAUCUCGGUACGUAAAACCCUUUCGACGGGGAAGAAAGCCGCAAGGCUUGACGGUACCCGUAGAAGAAGCCCCGGCUAACUCCGUGCCAGCAGCCGCGGUAAUACGGGGGGGGCAAGCGUUGUUCGGAAUUACUGGGCGUAAAGGGUGCGUAGGCGGUUCGCUAAGUUGGAUGUGAAAACUCUGGGCUCAACCCAGAGCCUGCAUCCAAUACUGACGAGCUAGAGUUCUGGAGGGGAUAGCGGAAUUCCUGGUGUAGCGGUGAAAUGCGUAGAUAUCAGGAGGAACACCGGUGGCGAAGGCGGCUAUCUGGACAGAGUC
rnacentral:rRNA from 1 species